UGGCUGAGCGGUAAAGCGCUUGGUUUCCGAACCGGUGGUCCCGGGUUCGAAUCCUGG
rnacentral:tRNA from 1 species